rnacentral:rRNA from 1 species
GAUGAACGCUAGCGAUAGGCCUAACACAUGCAAGUCGAGGGGCAGCAUAGAGUAGCAAUACUUUGAUGGCGACCGGCGCACGGGUGAGUAACACGUAUGCAACCUACCUACAUCAGGGGAAUAACCCGGAGAAAUUCGGACUAAUACCGCAUAAUACAGGGAUGCCGCAUGGCAAUAUUUGUUAAAGAUUUAUCGGAUGUAGAUGGGCAUGCGUUCCAUUAGCUAGUUGGUGAGGUAACGGCUCACCAAGGCAACGAUGGAUAGGGGAACUGAGAGGUUUGUCCCCCACACUGGAACUGAGACACGGACCAGACUCCUACGGGAGGCAGCAGUGAGGAAUAUUGGUCAAUGGACGAGAGUCUGAACCAGCCAAAUCGCGUGAAGGAAGAAGGCUUUCGGGUUGUAAACUUCUUUUAUGAGGGACGAAAAAAAUGACGGUACCUCAUGAAUAAGCCACGGCUAACUACGUGCCAGCAGCCGCGGUAAUACGUAGGUGGCAAGCGUUAUCCGGAUUUACUGGGUGUAAAGGGCGUGUAGGCGGGACUGUAAGUCAGGCGUGAAAAUUAUGGGCUCAACCCAUAACCUGCGUUUGAAACUAUAGUUCUUGAGUGUCGGAGAGGUAAUCGGAAUUCCGUGUGUAGCGGUGAAAUGCGUAGAUAUACGGAGGAACACCAGUGGCGAAGGCGGAUUACUGGACGAUAACUGACGCUGAGGCGCGAAAGCGUGGGGAGCAAACAGGAUUAGAUACCCUGGUAGUCCACGCUGUAAACGAUGGAUACUAGGUGUGGGGGGUCUGACCCCCUCCGUGCCGCAGUUAACACAAUAAGUAUCCCACCUGGGGAGUACGAUCGCAAGGUUGA